rnacentral:misc_RNA from 1 species
UGCCUUCCGACACAGCGUGUUU